GAUAUUAUCCCGAUAUUUCCAUCGAUAUUUCCGUGUUUUCAAACUACCGAUAUUUCCGAUAUUACUGAUAUUUUCUUCCUUGGUUGUGACAACUACCGAAUUCUUGUAACUUGUUAGCUUCACAGUACAAAGGUUAGCAGGUAUCGGAUUCAGCUAACGCCGAAAUAAAUGAGCACAAUGACCAAAAUUUGUUGCGACAAAUAGUAGCAAACAGUACUAUAGUAGCAUGAAAACCCAACAAAACUAGUCCUACAAUUUGACAUAUAACCACUUUGAAGGAGACAAGCUAUGGAGUUUGGAGGAUGAUCAAUUUUUUGUCAGGUCAAUUGGUAAAUUUAGAUGACAAAUAGCCAGUUAAUCAUAGUUUAGUGGUAAUAAUCCUAUGUGUUUAUCACUUUUUUACCCAUCAAAAGCUUGAUAUGCAGAGAUAUUUGGUCAAUCAAAAUUAUAGUACAAGAAAGUUAAAUUCUUAGCAUUUGUUCUGCAUUAAAAUUAUAUAUGUUGUUUGUCUAUGAAGCAGAAUUCUCUCUCGGAAUAGGAUUAUCUCUCCUUCUUUUUUCUCUCACAUCCUUUUUUUUCUUCACUCUCUAUAAAGAAGUCAACACAAGAUGUUGACAUAGCUUAAUCAAAGUCCUUACGUUUUUUUCAUCACUACCUCCUCAAAUGUAUCAUCCCAUCACCAGCCAAGGUCCCCUCAAGAUCUCCAAUAAUU
rnacentral:lncRNA from 1 species